UCACGAAAAGGCAAACCCAGGGAAACCUGGAGACGCAAAGCCAAGGGCCCUUUGGGGCAGCCUAGCUACCGAAU
rnacentral:ncRNA from 1 species